UUCGUGCCAACCGAAUCACCAACCACGUAGUAUCGGAGCAUUGUGUGUCUAAUACUGCCUGGUAAUGGUGAUUGGGUGGAUACGUA